GUUGGUUUAUUUAAAGGUUUUGGAAUCUCCUUGCAUGUUGUGGAAGUGUAUUUAGCUUCUAAAUAGAAGUAGAAUUCAAAUCUAGUAUCAACUUUCAAUUACUACAAAUUGCCGCUCAAAUCUCCUUACAUCCUUUCUAUUAGUUGUCCUUCUAUGUUUCUUCAAUGACAACAUAAUUUUAUGUUACUUUGAUGGAAUCAUUUUCUAAUAUUUGUCUAUUUUGAGGUUGUAAUUUUUGGAUGAAACAUGAGUCGUUUAUUCUACCCUUCUUCUUUGUUGUACUUCAUCUUUCUUACAUGGACAUGCCCAAGAUUCUUGAGAAUCAUGUAAAUUUAGUGAUUGUUGUUUGUAUUUGAUAUUAAGAUUUGUUAAUAAUUCUUUUUUUCUUUCUAAUACUCGGUUUGUUUUUAUAUGCGGCUUCCCUUGGGUUUGUAAUCAAAGUGAGAUGCAUGGAAUUUUAAAAUCCAAAUCAGGAAGGAAAACCAGUCUUCUACAAUAUAUAUUUCAAUGAGAAACUAUUUUCUUUGAAGCUUUGGUACAAAUUUUUUUUUUUUUGAAAAAUUUUGAAAUUUAGUGUCUUAGAACUUAUUUUUAGAAAAUGUGAAAAACAUAGUAAAAAUAUUAGGACUAUAAUUCGAAAGGGUUGUAGUCAAUCUAAGUCUAACUCAAUCUCAUUUUUUAAAGAAAAUACUUAUCAAGUUGUCCGUAGUAAAAUCUUCAUUUUUUAAAUUUAUUCAAUAUAUUUAUAUUAAAAUUUAAAUAAUUAAGGAGACUAUUUCAAGAUAGUAAUUAAAAAUAAAAAAUAAAUUUAUAUAUCUUUUUAGAAAAAUGAGAUAGAGUAAUUACAAUUUAAUAUUAUUUUCUUAAAAUUAAAAAAUAAAUAAAAUGAAUAUUAUUAGUGUUGAGUUAUGGUAAGUCUUAUUAUACUAUACACUUUUCACCGUAACAAUCAAUCGACCUUCAUGAUGCUAACGUCAAUGGGUGUGUGGGGUUUGAGGCAUAUGCCCCAAAAGGUUGAGAUUAGGUUGCAGUAACAGGGAAAGUAUAUAGUAACAUUAGGCUACAAACAACUUAACAUAACCUAAUAUUAUUUUUUUAAGUUUAGGUUGAGAUUAGGUUGGUUGGUUGGAUUAUAAUCAAGAGGUCAAAUCGAUCAAGUCAUAUAAUUUAUAAUCCAUUCACAAUGUUUUUUUAUAUAUACAUAUAUAUUUAUACCAAAAUCUAAAUAGUAAAUUGGAUACAAUUUCAAUAUAAUAACAAAAAAGUAAAAAUAAAUUUAUAUAUCUUUAUAAAAAAUAAAAAUAUAUAUUAUAAAAUUAUAUUUAAUAUUUUUUUUCUCAAAAAUAAAAAAGAGAAUAAAUAAAAUGAAUACUUUAAUGUAAGAUUAUAUAAAUUAUAACUAAUAUAAAAAUAUUAAAUUAAAUUACUUAAAUUAUCCAAACCUUAGUCUAAAUAUUAGUCAAAUUGAGUUUGAGUUAAAAAAACUUUACUUAAACUCAACCUAUAUUAAAAAUGAUUACCCACCCUUGUCUAAAAGUAGGAUUUGUCGAACCUAUUUUUUUUUUUCUCUCUUUUAAGUUUACUUGAAAAUAACCAUAUAGCCUUGUAAUUAACUUUAUAAUGAGUUAAAUAUUUUAUAUUCUUUAAUUUUAAAAUAUAAUUGGUAUAAUUUUUGUUUUUUUAAGCAGACAACUUUCCAAGAUGUAAACCUUAUAAAAUACUUGCAUGCCAUGCAAGUCUUCCUCAUUGUUAUGAAUCAUGUCUGUGAUUCUUCUGACCAGUUUCUAUCAGACAAAUUUAUUGCUAUGUGCUGAUAGCCCAACCUACAUAUAUGCUCUCCUCAGCCUGUGCAUGCCAUCCACUAUAAGCAUAACUUUCCCUUGUUUUACAAGUGUAUAUGCUUUCAGAGAGAAUGUUUCCAACGUCACCCAACUUAAUAAAUACGAGUAUGAAUCUUUCUACCUUGAACUUUUUAAUACCUAAAGAAAUACAAUGAUAUAUAAUGCAUAACAAAUCUCUUUUGCAAUGUAGCUAAGGUUUUAUAUACAUGAAACCACACAAAAAAAAAAAAAAAAAUGCAUAGACCAUUCAAAUAAAAAAUUAUGAUAAUUAAGAUUACAUUUGAUUCUUAAAAAUAUCAUGGGAGAAAAAUAAUAUAAUAAAAAAAUCAUUAAAUAGAUUACGUAUAUUUGAUAAAAUAAUUUAAUAUUAUAUACUUAAAAUUAAAAAUAUUUUUAAGUAAUAAGUUAAAAUAAUUAAUUUAUUUUUAUCAAAUCUUUUUUAUCUCAUUUGCUGACUACGAUAAAAAUAUAUUUUACAACCAUGAUUCUACGUUCAUGAUUCAUUUUUUUUUAAUAUAAAUAUUAUCAAUUAACUUGACUAUCUAAAGUACUUUAAAUAUAGUUAUUUAAAAAAAUAAAUUUAUUAUUUAAUAUUAAGAAAAAUAAAUAUUAAUUAAAAUCAAUAAGAAUAAAUAUUAGUCAAAAUUAAUAACGGUAAUUAUGUCAAUUUUAUUAUUUAGAAUAAAUGUUAAAUUAACUUUGCCUAUCAUUAUUAAUACUUAAAAUAAAAACAAAUAAUAAAAUUUAAAUCAACAUUUAGGAAUAAUUUAACAUAAAAUCCACUUAAAUGUUUACCAAAUGCUCUUUUAGUAUAAUAAAAAAAGGGAUUUAGGAUUUAGAUAUAAAUAAAUCCUUUUUUUACUACAUGAUAAUUGGGAUUAAUCAUCACUUAUUUGCAAGCCACUUUUUGAUAUUAUAUUUUUCUGAUACAAAAUGAUAAAAAUAAAUAGAAACAAAAAACAGAAAAGAAAAAGAUGCCUUGUACAAGAUUAGUUACGGGUAUAGUACAAGUAAAUAAAUAAAUAGAUUUUAAAAAAAAUCCACCUACCAACCCAAGUUGGUUUAUAUUAUUGAAACAAUAAGUCUCAAUAUUCUAAGUAAACCAUGUGCGAGACCUCGAAAAAAUAUCUAUUGAAAACUAAUGCGUAUACAAGCAUUGCUUUUAAAGAAGUUUCCUCUCAAAAUAGAAAUUUUAUUUUAUAAACUUAUUAUUAACACAGACGAAAUUAUCUAAUUGGGAUUUUAAAUAUUAAUAUAGAAUUUUUGUUUUAAAAAAAAAAACAGUCAUCUUAAAAUAUGAAAAUUUUAAAUGAAACUUUGAAGAAUGAUAAACCUAUCAAUGAUGCAUGCAUGAUAAAUAUAUAAUGUGUAUUAAUAAAUAAAUAAUGUGUAUUAAUAAAUAAAUACCCAAUAAUAAUGUAAAGAUAAAGGUUGUAUUCCAAAAUCCCCCAAAUGGAAGCAUGCAAUGUUUGCUCUUGAUAUUGAGAUUUGUUUAUAUUUUGAUUAAGACUUCCAUGGGUGAAAACCUCUUAUGGACUUGCCCCCAUCAUAAAACUUCUCAUCCACUCACCAAACACAAUUCAAUUCACCACCCAACCUAUUUCAAGUAAUAAAUGUUGGGUCUACAAAAUUGAGAUGGCAAGUAGUUUAUAAGUUAAUUAAUACAUUUUUAUUUUUUAUUCAUAAUGAUUACAAUAUUUAAAAUUUAUUAAAAAAGUUAUAUUAUAUUUUUAAAUAUAUAAACAUAUUUUGUAUAUUAAAUAAUACUAUAUAUCACUAUUAUUUAGGUUUUAUUAUUAUAUACAUAUUGUUAAGUUCUUUUCUUCUUGCAAUCAAAAGUUUGAUUUUUUAAUUGUAAACUUUUAUUUUAGAAAAUGAGUGAUAAAAAAUUAAAAUAAAAAAAUGAAUGAAAAAAAAAAUAUAAUACAUAUUUAAAAGGGAAAACUGAUCAAAAGGGACAAAAAUCCCUCAAUAUUGUAAAACUAACCCCCCACUUUUAAUAGCCUCUAAAAUGACCCAAUUUGGACAAAAAUACCCCUCAGGUACAUCAACUCUUUUUUCUCUCUCAUUCUAAUUUUAUUUCCCUCCAUUCACCUCUUUUUUAUUAUUUCUUCCACUUUCUCCUUUUUUUUCAUUUUCUCCUGUUAUUCCGUUUCUCUCUUUUUCAGUGCAUUUCUUCAAGUCUCACACAGUUUCUUUUCAAAUUUCUUCAACUUAAAGCGCUUUAAGUUGUGGUUGGAUAAACAAUGUAUGUUUAUUUUUAUUUUUUCCAUAUUUUUUUCUUUCAUGUUUUAUUUAUUGAAUAUUUUCAAACAUUUAAUGAGAUGUAGUAAAUAUUUAAAUAAGUUUGAAAUUGUUAUAAUUUUUUUAAUAUCAUUUACAGCCAUGAAAAAAUGGAUUAAAAGAAGGAAACAAUCAGCUUAAAAAGUGUCGUGUGGAGAAACAUUGUCCAUAUGGAAAAAUCAAAUGAUGGUAAGUAAUAAAACUUAUGGAAUUUUAUGAUGGUUUUGGUAUUGUUUGCAUAUUUGUUCUUUAUAUAGAUGUAAAUAUAUGUGUUAAUAGAGUUUUGAUAUAAUAUAUAAAGUUAUCUUUUUUAGUUAUAUACCAAAACUUUACAGAUAUUAAGUUGAACUUGACGUAAGUUAAGAUUGUAUAUAGUUAUUUUAUAGUAACAUUAUAUUAUUGUUAUUUUAUUUAAUUAUACUCAAUUUGAGUUGAAUCAUUUGCAAAUUACCCUUGACAUUAAAUGAAUUACAACAUAACCAAUCUUUUAGUAAAUAAAUAUAUUUUUAUUGUUUAAAAUAGUUUAAAGUUACAAUGUCUGAAUUUAUUUAAUAACUAUAUACAUUGUAUUUCUAUAGCAUUAUUGGUAUUAUUUGAGGUAGUAAAGAUGAUUAAUAAUGUUAUUUAUUUGUUAUUUAUUAAAAUAUAUAUAUAUAUAUAUAUAUAUAUAUAGAUAUAUAUGUGUAAUGAAAUAAUAUGUAUGUAAUAAUUGUUAGAAAUUUGAGGCUAAUCCAACUUAUGGUAAUCACCCUAUAGGAGGGGGGGUGAAUAGGGUGAUGGUAUCUUUUUCACAAAUUUAAACUAUACAAAAAUAAGAGACAAUUAUAUGCAAGUAUAUUAUAAACAAAAUAAAGACAAUUGCAUAUAAUUUAAAAGAGUUAGGGAAGAGAAAGUGCAAACACGAGAGUUUAUAGUGGUUCGGCACUUCCUUGCCUACGUCCACUCUCCUCAACCUCCUAACCGAGUGAGGGUUCCACUAUCUUGAAGCUUCAACCAAGCUUCCAAUCUCUUUACAAUUGGAUUAUGGUUCCAAUUCACCCUCUUGGACUUUUGGCUCCAAGCACCCUUUACACUUUUCAAGAGAUAUCCCACUCUUGAACAACCUCUCAAGUGAUACCCCACACUUGAGAAAAUUCCUCACAAAGAUAUACAAAUAAUGAUCUCUCAAAAUCCUAGUAAUAGAACUUUAGGCUCAAAUAUACAAGAAAAACUAGGAUUGAAUGGUGCACUAAAGAUAUGCAAGUUAUAAAACAAUGGUGCACUAAAAAACACUCUUCCAAAGCUCAAAUAUAAUCAAGAAUAAUUUGGGAAGGUUAAGCUUAUGAAACAAUGAAGAUUGGAGCCUUUUUAUAGAAGAAAAAAGUCAAACUAGUCGUUGGGGGUUUGACCGGUCGAGCUAGGGGUCGACCGGUUGACUAGCCGUUGGGAAAAGUGACCGUUGGGCCUCAACCGGACCUCGAUCGGACCUCAACUGAUUGAGGUUCAACCUUGACAGGGAAGAGAAGGCCACUGUAAGAGAGAGAAACUUUUUGGUCUCCCUCAACCGGUCCUCGACCGGACGAGCACAACUAGUCGAUCGGUUGAGCUAUUUUUUUGGCUCAACACUCAACAUUUUUCAACUUAAAACCUUUUAACACAAGUUUGAAAAUCAUUUAACACAAGGUUUUAGUUCAAAACAUGAAAUCAUCCAAUUCUUAAGAUAUUUAAAACAAUAUUACUCUUGGAUAAUUUUGGUGCAUAAAUAAAGAAUGAAAUGCAUAAAAUUCAUAGUGUACCAACAACCUUACAAAGAGAUCUUAAGAAGUUUUGGUCUUGAAAAACUCUUCUCUUUGAGGUGGUCUUCUUCAUCAUGAUUUCUCUUUGGCUUGACUUGUCUUUGGAUUGCCACUUUGGAAUUCGUCUUGCCUAAUCACACUUGAAAUAUGAUUAUUAGUUCUAAACCUUGUUUUGUUAUCAUCAAAAUCAAGAUUAACCAAACCUUGGUUUCACAAUAAUGAAUGAGUUUUUUAAAAUUAAUACAUACUCAUUGGUGCUAAUGUUAUGAUGUAACUAAAAAGUAUUCUAAUAUUGUUUGUUGAUGACACUAAUUGAAUUAUUUUGUUAUUUCAGUGGUUGAUGAAGUAAGAAUAAUGCUUUUAUAUGAAGGAGAAUGGGUAUGAGAUGGAAAUGCUUUCUAUUUCGAAGGAAGUAAAGGUAAAGGCAAAGACAUUGAGAUCUCGAAAACUAUAUCAUAUAAAGAGUUAUUAGGGGUCAUCAUAUUCUGAAGCUAGGUCCAACAAAUUGUUUUAUUUCAAUGAAGUAUGUAUUCAAUGCCAACAUACCCACAAGUCCUAUACAACUAACUGAUGACGGGGAUGUGAAAUUCUUUAUUGGUUUAAAUUGUACAAAUGGUAAGCUGCAUGUUCCAUUGUGUAUCACAGUUGAAAAAAGAAUUGAUAAUCAUAAUCAGAAAUCAAUUUGAAAUUCUUAUUCCGAAUGUCAUAUGUCUUAUGAGAUUGAUAAAGAAUUGAAUGGGGACUCAAUGUUGAUUCAUAAAAGUAAACACAUUCAUUGUGAUUCGAUUGAAACUCUUACUGUUGAUGGUGAAAUUGGACCAAGAUUUCAAAAUGAGUCACUUAAAGGGUAUAAAGUUCAUGAUUGGAACAUGAAUGAGACUGCAAUUAAUGAGAAGAAUUAUAGGAUGAAUACUAACCCUACUAAUGAUAAGCAAGUGACCCAAAUUGGCUCAUUCAGAACUGGUUCAGCUUAGAGUGCAGAAAUCUUGACCAUGAUUGAUAUAAAUGAUGGUUUCAUACAUGACAAUCCCACUAUAAUUGAAGAUGUAGCAAAUGAAAGACAAAACAUGAUGCAACAACCUAUAGUUAGUGGAAUUAGUGAUGACCAUCUAGAAGAGCACCAAAUAUACUCAAGUAAGAAAGAAUUACAAAGGAAAUUGUAUAUGAUGGCUCUGAAAAGGAAGUUUGAGUUCAAAACAACUAAAUCCACUACUAAGUUAUUUCUUAUUGAAUGUUUUGAUAAAGAAUGCAAGUGGCGAGUUCAUGCUACCAAGUUGGGGAUUUCCAAUAUGUUUCAAAUAAUGAAAUUCUAUUCAACACACACUUGUGGGUUAGAUAUGAUGUCUCGUGACAAUCGACAUGUAAGUAGUUGGUUGAUUGGUGAAAGUAUAAGAGAAACAUAUCAAGAGGUUGGUUGUGAAUUUCGACCAAAAGACAUUGUAGCAGACAUUCGAAAGCAGUAUGGCGUUCAAAUCAGUUAUGAUAAGGCGUGGAGAGCCAGAGAACUUGCUCUAGGUUCUAUUAGGGGAUCACCUAAGGAGUCUUAUAACACUUUACCAUCAUAUUGCUAUGUUUUAGAGCAAAAAAAUCCUGGUACCAUUACCGAUAUAGUUAUUGAUUGUGAUAAUCAAUUCAAAUACUUUUUUAUGUCAAUUGGUGCAUCUCUUGUUGGGUUUCACACAUCAAUAAGGCUUGUGGUUGCAAUUGAUGGGACAUUUUUGAAAGCAAAGUACUUAGGGACUUUAUUUAUUGUAGCGUGUAAAGAUGGCAACAAUCAAAUAUACCCUUUAGCCUUUGGGAUUGGUGACUCAGAAAAUGAUGCCUCAUGGGAGUGGUGUUUACAAAAAUUGCAUGAUGCACUUGGACACAUUGAUGAUUUGUUUGUGAUAUCAAAUUGACAUGGUAGCAUUGAGAAAGUAGUACAUAAAGUAUUUCCCCAUGCGAGGCAUGGUGUCUGUACUUAUCACGUUGGACAAAAUUUGAAGACAAAGUUUAAGAAUCUUGCAAUUCAUAAGUUGUUCCAUGAUGCUGCCCAUGCUUAUCGUGUUUCAAAGUUUAAUUUUAUAUUUGGGCAACUAGAUAUGAUGGACCGAAGAACAGAAAGAUAUUUGAUGGAUAUAGGAGUUGAUCGAUGGGCACGUUCAUAUUCUACCAAAAAAAGAUAUAAUUUCAUGACGACAUGGAUCGUUGAAAGCCUUAAUGUUGUGUUGAAAAAUGAUAGAGAUCUUUCUUCCGGUUUUGCAAUUGGUUGAAGAAUUGAAAAACUUACUUCAAAAAUGGUUUGUGACUCAUCAACAACAAGCAAUGCCAAUGUCAACUGAACUUACCAGGUGGGCUGAUGGAGAACUUCAUUCGAGGUAUAAUAUGUCAGCAACAUAUCUAGUGGAACCUAUCAACUCCAAGGAGUGUAAUGUUAACUAUGCUAGCAUUAGUGCUCAAGUGAAUUUAGACACUCGUUCAUGCACAUGUCGACAAUUUGAUCUUGAUCAUAUUCCAUGUACACAUGCUAUUGUUGCUUGUAGAUUUUACAACAUUUCAUGUUACACUUUGUACUCCAAGUAUUUUACUACUAAAGCAUUGUUAUCUUCAUAUUCAAAGUGUAUUUAUCCAACUGGAAAUGAAAUAGAUUGGUUAGUACCUAAUCAUAUUCAUGACAAAGUUGUGUUACCACCUAAAACGAGACGCCCAACAGGAAGACCAAGGAAAGUAAGAAUUCCUUCUGGUGGAGAGGGCAAGCGCACAUCUCGUUGUAGUCGAUGUGGUCAAUAUGGGCAUAAUUGGAAAACAUGCAAACGACCAAUCCCUUGAUAUCAUGAUAACUUUGGAACUCUAUGAACUUAUAUGGAAUGAAAAUUGUAAUAGUGAGCUUUUUUGUUUUUUUGGUACCCAUGUGAAUGGAAAUGUAAGUUACUUUUUGUAUAAGGUGAUAGGAUAAGCAUAGAGAUGAAUAUUGUAAUAAUGAUCCCUUUUUUUGCAUACCCAUAGAAAUAGAGUUACUUUUGUACAUAUAUGUUAUGAUGAGUUAUGUACAAAGUAUGAAUGAAAAUUGCAUAUUUAUUCUCAAACUAUGGACUUAAUUGUUCUCACGUUUAUUGAUAAGGAACUGGACAAUAGUUAAGUUCAGGUUUUGUCUGAAGACUGUAGACUUAACUACCUUCAAGUUUGUACAUAAAACAACUUGUCAAUGGUUAAAUUCAGGUUUUGUCUAAAAACUGUUGACUUAACUGCCUUCAAGUUGGUACAUAAAACAACUUGACAAUAGUUAAGUUCAAGUUUUGUCUAAAGACUGUGGACUUAACUACCUUCAAGUUUAUACAUAAAACAACUUGACAAUAGUUAAGUUCAGGUUUUGUUUAAAGACUGUGAACUUAACUACCUACAAGUUGGUACAUAAAACAAGUUGACAAUAGUUAAGUUCAGGUUUUGUCUAAAGAUUGUGGACUUAACUAUCUUCAAGUUUAUACAUAAAACAACUUGACAAUAGUUAAGUUCAGGGUUUUUUAAAGACUGUGAACUUAACUACCUUUAAGUUUGUACAUAAAACAACUUGACAAUAGUUAGGUUCAGGUUUUGUCUAAAGACUAUGGACUUCACUACCUUCAAGUUUGUUCAUAAAACAACUUGACAAUAGUUAAGUUCAGGUUAAAAUGGCAAUUGUAGACACAACUUCCUAUGAGUCUAUAGAAGAUCAACUUGAUACCUGUUAAGUCCAGAUUAAAUCUGUUAUUCUGGAAUAGACUUCGACUUAAUAUCUGUUAGGUUUGUUCACAGUUAACUUGAUAGUAGUUAAGUUCAGGUGUUCUAUUAAGACUGUGGACUUAACUACCUUCAAGUUUGUACAUAUAACAACUUGACAACAGUCAAGUUUAGUUUAAAAGGUCAAUUAUAUACAUAACUAUUGAACAACAUUCAUCAAAAUAUCCAAGUAUAUAUAUCAAGUUGUCCAACUACAUUUAUCAAAAUGUCUAACUACAUAUAUGAAGCUAUCCAAUUACAUAUAACAAACCAUCCAACUACAUUAUCAAAAUGUGAAAUAUCAACAUGAAUUCAUUACAUAGGCAAGUAUUUCAUAUAAAAUAACUCUGCUGCCAUCUUUUCCCGAAACCAGUCCAUUCGAGCACUUGUUAAUGACUUCAAUGGAUGGUUGUGCAUUAAGUAUUCAACAUAUUUGAUAACAAACAUGCCACAAUCAUCACUGCAUGGUACACAGAUAAUCAAUGUUAGGGCUAUUAUUAAGGAUUAAGUGUAUAAGAUAUGAAAGUAAAUUUAAGAUCACUUACUCAUUUUCUUGUUGAGGAAUAUCUUACAGCCGUUCAAUUUCCCAUUCCUGGUAGUUAACUUUUGUGUCACCAUGAAACCCAUAAUAUGCUAUUGCAUUUAAGAUAUGCGGCAACAAUGUGGUUAAUGGUUUAAUGGAAACUUGCAAUCUUGCAUUAUUAUUGAUGCCCAUCAAUGAGUCAUAUACAUAUAUAAUCCUUCGAUGAAGGUGGACAACUCCUAAUACCCAGUGACUAACCCGAACAUUGAUGGGGACAUACACAAUGUCAACAUCAGGCCAUUUGAUAGAAUAAAGAGGCUGCAAACCAUUGGCAUAAUCAAUAAGAAUGUCAUUCUCUGGUAAUUUGAAUAGGUUCCAUUUCUUGACAUGCUUAAUCCAUUUUGCUAUAUAGAAUAAAGUUAACAUACAUAAAUAAAUAACCAAGAUUAUAAGAUUCAUUAUUACAAAAAAUUAAAAAUGAUAACUAAAAUUCAAACUACACAUACCCAAAACAUAGUAUCCAUUGUGGUAAACUUUUGGGGAAAAAAAUGAGGAUUUUCUAUUCGUUGCUUCCGGAAAAACAAGGCAACAUCAAUGUGCUAACAAUUAGUGUUUGGAUACCCGGUUCUCCAAAGCUCUUUGCAAACCAAAUAGUGUCAUCUCAUAACAAAUCCCCUCCCCCCAAUGGAUACUUGUUAAAAGCCUCCAAAUUAUCAACCAAAGCAACUCAUUCCAUAUCUAUUAAAUUUUUUCCUUCUUUCCCAAAUAAAACAUGCUCUAAAAAAUAGAAAAGUGCCAACUUUAUCACUUCUUUAUCUUCAAAUUCUUUUUUUUUCUUAUUCUUUUUCUUUUUCUUUUCCUCUCUUUAAGAAAGAAAAACUUUCUCCAACUCAUCAUUACGCACCUUGUUUUCUCCUUUAAAGUAUAUGUCCCUUAUUUGUAAUGAUUUUUUAUCACAUUUUAUAAUAGGACCAAAACUCAAGCCCGUAAUCAAUGCAAAACUCUUCUUUACUAAAUCUUAAGCCCUUUGACUUUAAUAAAAUCCAUAUUUUAUUGUCUUUUUUGGUUUCACAUUGACGUAACAACAAUUGAUGAACAAUUUGGGCUAAAAAUCUAAGUUCGGGAAAGAGUAAAAAAUGACCAAAACAUGAUUUUCUAAACAUCUUCAAUUGUGGUUCAGUCAAUUUCUUCUUAAUAUUUUCAAUGGCUACCAAGUGAGACAAACAUGCAAUUUUUCCAGGAAAGUACUCCUCUUUAGGUAUUUUAGAUAUAAAAGAUAGGGAGAGGAGGAGGAAUGUCAAUCUAUAAGAUAAUAGCAAAUUGUAAAAAUAUCAAUAUAAAUUGAGCAAAAUUAUAUUUCCAAACUUAUCCAACUAUGUUAAAUCCUUCAUUUCGUAUUACUUCUUAACAUAGACUUUAUUUUCCUAUUAUUUAAGAAUGCCAUGUCAAAUGCUAAUAUUCUAAAGAUAUUAUUUUACUAAUGCAAUUGAAGCUAUUAUAUUUUACUAAGUUGCAGCUACAAAAAAUUGGAGACAUUAUUCUAGUGUUUAUUGAAAUUUGAAACAAAACCAAACCAUUUUGAAAUUGCAACCUGUUGACAAUGAACUUGAUAGCAGUUAAGUUCAGUUUUUUCUUAACAUAUAUAUUUAAAUCAAAAUUCUAAAUAUUUGGAUAAAAUAAAUUCAUAAAAAUUAUAUUCAAAUACAUUAUAAAUUCAUAACAAAUAACUUCAUUACACAAAAUUUCAAAACCUUUUGAUGGUAAACUUGAUAGUAGUUAAGUUUAGUCUUUUCUAAUCAUUCAAAUAUUGCUUUAAACCUUGGACUAUAACCUCACUGAGAAAAUUUUCAACAAUUAGAUUAUCAAUUCAUGAAAAAUAAUUUCAUAAAAAAAAUGAUAAUUGAUUAAAAGGGAUAAAAUGUAAAAAAAAAAAUUAAAAAUCAAAAUUUCAAGUAGAAAAUUAAUGCUUACUGAAUCAGUUGAUUUCUUCUCAUUUUCUGAUGACGAUGACAAGGUUUCAAAACCUUGCUUUCUUUCACUUCUCUUUUUUCUCAAAAUUUUAUACCCUUCUGUUUCAUAUUUUUCAUCACCGAAUUUUUUUCUUCCUCCAUUUUCAUGAACUGAAUCAACACACAAUAUCAGAAAGAUGAAAAAUAGGGCUUGAUUUAAAAAAAAUAAAAUGAACCAAAAUAAGACACGUAGGGUUUCUUCUCAUUUCAUGGAUGAAGAUUCAUAUGUACAGUUCAAAAAACUGAAAUCAAAGAAUGAAACAGUGAAACUUACUUUUUGUUUUUUCCUUGUGUUGUGUUGCCUUUUUGUUCUCUUACAAUAAACGAAAAAGUCUUUUGUGAUUUCUUUCUCGUAGGUUAAUGGAUGAAACAAAUGGGUUUUCAGGGUAAGGAAGAGACACAGCACUAGGGAAAAUUGGAGUUGGAAGGAAAAUGACCUGAAAAGAUAGCUGAAUGGGUAUUUUUGUCUGAGUUGGGUCAUUUUUAAGACUUAAAUAAGUGGGGAGGUUAGUUUUGCAAUAUUGAGGGAUUUUUGUCCAUUUUAAUCGGUUAUCCUUAUUUAAAAUUAUCAUAUUUCAUAUAGAGAAUAUAAAAAAAAAUAGAUUAUUUCACUACUUAUUGUAUCUCAUAUUACAAAUACAAAUAUGGGAUACUGUAAGAUUACUCAUCGGGAUCAAACUCCAUCAAAUCAUUUGGCCAAAAAACAAGGAGAAAAUGGCAAUAUCACUACAUGUUGAAUUAAAAGUCAUAAAAACUUCACAUCAUCUUUAAUUAUUCAACCAACAUCAAAAAACACUCAUCCAAGGUUAAAAUAAUAUUCAAGAAUGAUUUAUAAUUCUUCCACUUUAAUAUAAGUAUAGAGUAUUUAAAUAGAAUUUAGAACCCCAAACUAGUUAUUAGAUACAACUUAAGUUUGAUAGAUCAGUCAAUCUGUCAAGCGGCUACUAGUCGUUGGGGUUACUGUUGUCCAAUCGAUUUAACUAAUCUUUAACCAAUGAAAAUUUAGUUUUGCCAAUCUUGAGCAUUUUAAUCGGUUCUCAAUAAAUAGAAACAUGAGGAUCAACAGAUUCCCCUGUAUAUACCUCAAUUGAUUCCACUAAUUUUGAAAAAAUUAAAUCCAAUCAAGUUUGGGAAACCUAGGCUAAUAUAAUCUUAACUUUUUAAAAAUUCUUUAGAAAUAUUUUAAUUUUCUUUUUAGAAAUUAUUGUACUCAUACGCACUUAGAUUAAAUCAUUAAUUUCAAAUUUUAUUUUAUAAUUAUAACAGGUGAGAUUAACACUUAGGGAUAGUAAUGAAACGGGUUUUUUUAGGUACUCAUCCUACCCCUAAUAGAACGGGUUUCAAUUUUAACUAAACAGAUUUGGGACGAGUUUGAAAUUUUUUUUAAAAAAACAUGGCAGGUUUGGAACGGGUUUAGAUAUUGCCUUGCCUUACCCCGAUUAUAUAUAAAAUUAAUUUAAUUUUUAUUUUACUAUUUUUAAUAUAUAGAUAAUAAUAAAAUAUUUUUAAUAAAAUAAGUUAUAAAAAAAUAUAAUAAUUUAAUUUUUUAUAAAAUAUAUUUAUUUUAAUGUAAUUAAAAAAUUUUAAAGUAAUUUUUUUUAAAAUAUUCAAAAAAAAAGUUAAAUGGUGGGAAUUUCUCAUACUCAUUUCACCCCGUCCUGUCCCGUUUAAUUUUUUAAAUAUGACAAAUAUAUGAAUUAUUUUGAAUAAACGGGGUGGGAUUGGGAUGGGGGCAACCCGCCCCAUUGUUAUCCCUAUUAGUGCUUAACAGUCUUUAUAUUAGUCAUUGUUUUGCAUAUCCACCAUCUUAAAAAUUCAAGUUGAAAUUAUUGAAUCUAGAAAAAAUAUAGGUAAUUACAAAAAUAAUAACCAACAAAGCUGCGUAAUAUUCACAAUAAUGAAUAUCCCUACAUGACAUAUUUUAAAAAAAAAAAAACUAUUGGCUUGAGAUUUGAAAUCUAACUUUUUUAAAAGGUAAAGAAGGUGAGCAAUGCUCCCUUUAUAUAAGUUGUGCCCCGUCUUCAUGUAGUUUCUUUUUAGAUAUUCUCUAUAAUAUUUUUUAUUUCUUUCCAUCUUUAUUUCCUUAAGCUAUAUUUGGUUUCCAAAAAAUACUACAAAAUAUUAAGAAAAAUUAUUUUCUUAUGUUUAGUUUCACUAUAGAAAAUAUAAAAGAAAAUCAAAUAUAAUUAAAAUUUAUUUAAAUUUUAUACAUUUUAAAAUUAUUUAAUCUUACUAUAAUAGAAAGAAAUAAAUAAAAUAAGUUUAAAAAACGUAUAAAAAUAAUUUAUUAAAUUUAAACUUAUUUUUUAUUUUUUUUCACUUUUUCUUUUUUGCUACUUUUGUUCUUUAUUUUCUAUUUUUUUACAUUUUCCCUAAAAUUUUAUAGGAAUCAAACAUAGUCUUAAAAUUUUAAAUAAAAAUUAUCUAAUUUACAAAAAAUAUAGACAAUUGUGAAGUAGUAGGGUGUUGUCUACAUAUAUGUUACAACAUCCACAAAUAUUAUACCCAAUCAAUAAGAGAACUAUCAAUCUAUCAACUUUUUUUUUUUUUUAAUAUAUUAAGAAAUGUGGUGACAUCAUAAAGUCUUUUUUUAAGGUGAAUAAGGUUUUUCAUACAUGAAAUUAUACCACAAAUAUAUAAACCAUAAGAAAAAUAAUUUUUUUAAUAUUUGCAUGUUAUGAAUAUAUAUAUAUAUAUAUAUAUAUAUAAUGCUAAAAGGUUUUUCUCACCAUUUUCUUUAUAUAAAGGUGAGUAAAAUUUGACAAAAGUAUAUUUCUCAAAAUUUAAAUUUAAUUUUCUUUCCCUAAAUAGGAGUUUUUUUUUCCUUUCCUUAUAAUCUUUCACUCUAUUUUCUUCUCUCUCUCUCUCUCUUUCGAUUUUCCAUGAAACAACCUUGAUAAUAAUAAUAAUAAUAAAUGUACAAAACAUAUACAUAGAAGGAAUUCCUUAUCAUUAAAAAAAUCUAAGUUAAGCUACACUUGUAACGGUAGUAUUAUUUAUUUUUUUUAUAUUUUUUUUCAAUGACAAGUUUGAUAUAAUUUUACAUCAUUUCAAAUACUUGCCCAUUUUAAGAUUGUAAUUUUUGGAUCAAACAUGAGAGUUUCUUCUACUCUUCUAAUUUGUUGUAAUUUUUUCUAUCUUUGUCAACAAAUUUUAUUUUUCUCCCCUCUAUCGAGGUACCUAAUAUGGUUAUGAAUCAUGUAAAUAUAAAUCGAGUUUUUGUUGUUUUUUCUACAUAUUAAGAUUUGUUAAUAUUUUUACUUUCUCAAUAUUUGUGUUAUUUCUUCUAAGAAUUCCUUCAAGUUUGGGACAAGUCCUAAAAUAGGAUGAAAGAAAUAAUCACAUUCUUUCUCAAUCUAGUGUUAAAUCUUGGGUUGUUUGAAGGCCAAUAUCCCUUCAAUAAGGCUAAAGUGUAUUUAUUAGAACAAUUGGAGAUUGCAUGUUGUGUCACUAAGGUGAAUAAUAGGAGCAAUUGGAGAUUAGUGCAUCGCAAACAUGGAUCAAAUUAUAGGUAUUAAAGAGUAAGUCUUUAGGUAAAGUAAGUAGGUAAAUUUGUGUGACUUGAUCUCAUAUAAUGGAUUUAGAUUUGAGGUCUUAAAGCUUGUAUUUUUUUAUCUCCAUUUAGUGUGGAGGUUUUCCACAUAAAACUUUUGUGUGUCCCCUUGCAUACUUUUUUUUAUUAUUCGAGUAUUUUAAAUAUAUUGAUUAUCUCUUAUAUUCUAUAAGUUUAAAAUUGGAUUUAUUUCAUUCCUUAUAUUAUAAUUUUUAAAUAUGUCUAUUCACCCCUUCUAAGAGUUAUCGUACUGGACAUCGGUUUUUCAUAAUUAAUAAACAAUGAAGCCGUCACUAAUAGCUUCCUACAUUUUCAAAUUAAAAAUCGCAAAACUUCACACCAACUCAAGAUAAAUGGUUCAAUUAUUCAACUACCAUCACCACCACUUAACCCAUUUCAAAUAUAUAAAUAAAUGUUGGGUUUAGUUUUAAUAAUCGGAGCGUGACUCACAUGGUUAAGCUCUUUUACUUUCCUUUUAUAUUUAUGAUGUAUUGUUUUGGUUUACCUUUUUUAAUCAAAUAUUCCAAAAUUUGGAUCGCAAGUGGUGCCUUUUUUAAAUGUCUUCCAACCCAUCUUCAUACAUGAAACUAUGAAGAUUAUAUUUGAUUCAUAUAAAGUACGGAGAAAAACAAAAGAAAAUAAUAAGAAAAAUAAAAUAAUUACUUUAUGUUUGGAUGUCAUGGGAAAAUGUGAGGAAAAAAUAUUAAGAAAAAUCGUAAGAUAAGGUGACGGUUCAUCACAUGAAAGGAGACAGUUGUUCCUGCACAUGGGCAUGUGCCCCCAUGUGGAUUUGAAUGUGAAAACAGAAGCGUUUGUCUAACAAUUAUUUCUCUGCAAUUUAUUUAUAUCACUCGGGCGAUGCAAUGGUUGACUGUGAUUAACUUAAUAUUACUUCUCCCUACAACGGCUCUCUCUGUAAUCUCUAUAUAUUAUCCUCACAUGUAUUCCUAUUGCUCCUCACAACACUAUCGCUUGUUUCUUUCUCGUAUUCUCUCUUGCUACAAUUCCAUUCAUUCUCCUUAGCUGUUUGAAAGAUGGCCGAACAAAUUCCAUUCAGUCUUAUUGAGAAGCUUUUGAUGAAGCUGGGGUCUUCAAUUUACGGAGAAAUUGGGUUGAUGUAUGGUGUCCGAAACGAGCUGGGAAAGCUUCAGGACAAACUGUCCACGAUCAAAGCUGUACUUGUUGAUGCUGAGGAGCAGCAGCAGAGGAGCCAUGCUGUAGCAACUUGGGUGCAGAGGCUUAAAGAUGUUGUUUAUGAUGCUGAUGACUUGUUCGAUGACUUUGCAACUGAAGAGUUACGGAGAAAAACGGAAGUGCAGGGAAGAUGUGCUGGACAAGUAGGUGACUUCUUCUCAUCUUCCAAUCACCUUGCUUUUCGAUUUAAGAUGGGUCAUAGAAUAAAGGAUAUUAGAGAAAGGCUAGAUGAUAUUGCAAAUGAAACCUCCAAGUUAAAUUUUAUUCCCAGAGUCAUAUCUGAUGUCCCGGUAAGGAAUAGGGGGAGGGAGACGUGCUCUGUUGUGGAGAAAUCUCAUAAAAUUGUGGGUAGAGAUGAAAACAAAAGGGAGAUAAUAGAGUUGUUGAUGCAAUCAAGUACUCAAGAAAAUUUGUCAAUGGUUGUGAUUGUAGGCAUAGGGGGCUUAGGCAAGACCACCCUUGCUCAGUUGGUUUACAACGACCAAGGGGUGGUAAGCUAUUUUAAUCUUAAAAUGUGGGUUUGUGUUUCGGAUGAUUUCGAUGUAAAAGUACUGGUUAGAAAUAUCAUAAAGUCUGCAACUAAUAGAGAUGUGGAAAACUUGGAGUUAGAUCAGUUGCAAAAACGUCUUCAAGAAAAGUUAGAUGGGAAGAGGUACUUGCUUGUGUUAGAUGAUGUCUGGAACGAGGACAAAAGGGAAUGGGGUCAGUUCAUAACCUUAUUGCCUGUUGGUGCAAAUGGGAGUAAAAUCUUGGUGACCACUCGAAGCACAAGAGUUGCAUCAGUUAUAGGAAUUGAUUCCCCAUAUAUUGUGGAAGGUCUUAAAGAUGAUGAGUCUUGGGAUUUGUUUGAAAGUCUUGCAUUUAAAAAGGGAGAAGAGCAAAUGCACCCAAACCUUGUAGCCAUAGGAAAAGAAAUUGUAAAGAUGUGCAAAGGAGUUCCUCUUGUCAUCGAGACUUUAGGCGGAAUGUUGUACUUCAAUACCCAAGAAAGCCAUUGGUUGAGCAUUAAAAAAAAUAAAAAUCUUGUACUUCUUGGAGAAAAAAAUGAUAUUUUACCGAUAUUGAGGUUAAGCUAUGACAAUCUUCCCGUCCAUUUGAAACAAUGUUUUGCCUAUUGUGCAUUGUUUCCCAAAGAUUAUAUAAUUCAAAAAAAGUUGUUAGUACAACUAUGGAUGGCACAAGGUUACCUUCAACCAUAUGAUGAGAAUAUAGAUUUAGAGGAUGUUGGUAAUCAAUAUUUUGAAGAUUUAUUGUCAAGGUCAUUGUUUCAAAAAGUUGAAAAUAAAAAUACAAAUAAUAUAGUAAGUUGUAAAGUGCAUGACUUAAUGCAUGAUCUUGCACAAUCCAUUGUAAAGUCUGAGAUUAUCAUUGUAACAGAUGAUGUGAAGAUUAUUUCACAUAGAAUUCAUCAUGUGUCAUUAUUUACAAAACACAAUGAAAUGCCCAAGGAUUUAAUGGGCAAAUCCAUCAGGACUUUCUUUAACAGCGCCGGCUUUGUGGAUGAUCAUGAUGGUUCUAUAACUAGACUCCUUUCAAGCUUAAAAGGUUUGCGGGUAAUGAAGAUGAGGUUCUUCUUACGAUAUAAGGCUGUGUCAUCUUUAGGAAAACUAAGUCAUCUAAGAUAUCUUGAUCUUUCUAAUGGGUCGUUUGAAAACCUCCCAAAUGCUAUUACAAGAUUGAAGCAUUUACAGACAUUGAAGCUUUUCUAUUGUUUCGGUCUGAAAGAAUUGCCGAGAAAUAUGAAAAAAUUGAUCAACCUAAGGCAUCUUGAGAUUGAUGAAAAAAAUAAAUUAAGUUAUAUGCCACGUGGGUUGGGAGAUUUGACUAAUCUUCAAACCUUGCCAUUAUUCUGCGUAGGGAAUGAUAGUGGCGAAUCCAGGCACAAGAGAAUGGGUAGGUUGAAUGAACUGAGAUUCCUUAACAAUCUCAGAGGACAACUACAAAUUAAAAAUCUUUCAAAUGCGAGAGGCAGUGAAGCUAAGGAAGCCAUUUUGGAGGGUAAACAGAGUCUUGAGUGCUUGAGAUUAGAUUGGGAGGGACAAGAAGCUACCGACGAGAGUGAGGAGGACGAGAGUGAGGAGGCAGUGUUAGUGAUGGAAAGCCUGCAACCACAUCCAAAUCUGAAGGAGCUCUUCAUAAUUUGUUACACAGGUGUGAGAUUCCCAAAUUGGAUGAUGAAUGAUGGGUUGGAUUUGUUGCUCCCAAACCUAGUGAAAAUUCAAAUAACGUCUUGCAACAGAAGCAAAGUUCUGCCACCUUUUGCACAACUCCCUUCUCUUAAAUAUCUAGUACUUUUCGAUCUAAUUGCUGUGGAGUGCAUGAUGGAUUACCCUUCAUCAGCAAAGCCAUUCUUCCCAUCUCUGAAGACACUCCAACUUUCUCUUUUGCCCAAUUUGAAGGGAUGGGGAAUGAGGGAUGUAGCAGCAGAGCAAGCUCCUUCAUAUCCUUAUCUUGAGGAUCUACUGCUGAACAACACCACUGUGGAGCUAUGCUUACAUUUGAUCUCUGCCUCUUCUUCAUUGAAGUCUCUGUCUAUUAGAUGCAUAAAUGAUCUGAUAUCUCUGCCAGAGGGGCUUCAACAUCUUUCCACCCUACAAACUCUCAAAAUUGAGCAUUGCUAUGGUUUGGCAACUUUACCAGACUGGAUUGGCAGCCUCACAUCACUUUCAAACCUUUCCAUUGAAUGCUGCCCUGAGUUGAGAUCACUACCAGAAGAGAUGCGAUCCCUCCGCCAUCUACACACACUUGAAAUCUAUAGAUGUCCAUACUUAUAUGAAAGAUGCCAAAAGGAAACUGGUGAAGAUUGGCCUAAGAUUUCUCAUAUUCCCGAAAUUAUCAAUCGGGGAUGGUGAAGCAGAUAUGUGAAGCUUGCCUUGUCUCUUUAAUGAAUGCGUCAUCCACAACAAAUUUCGGUAUGCAAUCCAAUUUCUAGUUGUUUGCUGUGCUUUUUGUUAUUUGUUCGCACUUCACCUGUUACAUAAAAUGCUUAGCUUACCAAAAUGCCCUGUUACUCGGUGUUUGCAGUUUACACAUUUGCAUUUUACUGCCGUCGAAAUUGUUGUCAUCUCACUUCUCUCAAAUAUUAUAUAAAUUUCAGAAUAUAAUACUUGAAACUGUUGCAAUACUGAUUAUUUAAUGCUUGGAAUGCCUUCAAAAAUUGCAACCAUCAUGCCCCUAGAUGGCCACCCAAGAAAACUAAAGCUCAGGAAACUCAGCCGGGAAUUUAUAUUAAUCAGAACUAGGCUCUUAUAUGGAUUUGCUUGUAGUGUUUAACAAUGUUUGGGUUAGAACUUAAAGAAGUGUAGCUCCAUAUUCCUUGAUGGACACGUUAAUGUAUUGAGGUCAACCCCCACCACAUGUUGAAUUGAUAGGUAGUGUGAAGAAGACCAUUGAUGUAUAUAGGUGUAGAGUAAGGUGUUUUUUCCAUAGGGACUGCCACAAGCAAUUUAAUUUCUUUUUUUUUUUUUUGAAUGUUGAUUCUUAUAAGAUAGAACCAAAAGCAUAAAAUAAAAUCUAAUGCUUAUUUAGAGUUUUUUUGUAAUAUAAACAAGUGCCUAUCGCAAAGAAAGAACAUAGCAUAUUUUUGUGCAAUUUUAAAUUAUUCAUCGUACUAUGUGUUUCCAAUCCAAUUUGUAUGGUUGUUUUUGCAGGGUUUAUGUUUUGUUAUUUUACAAUUUAUCUAGCUCUUUAGAACCUUAUAGAUUAUGUUUUGCUAAUUUCGAUAUGUAAUGGCAUAUGUGAGGGAAAAGGUUUUUCAAUUUGUUUUCCUUCACUUUGUUGCAUGUCUAUGUUCUUUUACUCAUGAAUACAAUUGGGACUGUAAAUGUCAUGUUCGGUUUUCUUGUAGUUAUUUAGAAUAUUACUUGGGAUGUGCAUAUAAUACUUUCUUAUUAUGGAAGUCUUUGCCCUGGUUAUAAAUUAUGAUUUGAUUUUAUAUUUUUGGAUUGAACAAUGCUUGUAAUUCUUUUCGCUAUUCUAAUUUCUUGAUGAUUCAUUCUAUUAAGCCAACACCCUUUAAUAUUCCUUAAAAAAAUGUUGACAGGUGGAGGAUAACCGAUGCAUAUGGAAUGAGUUAGCUCACUUACAUCACAUUCCCAACCUAUACCCUUUUUAGCAUGUUGUCCAUACUUUGUCUCCACUAUUCAGGUUUAGAAUUGACUCCUCUCCUUUUGCUCUGAAUUGUUUACCCCUUUCAUUCAUUUACUAAAAUUUUUUGUACUUCUAGUCUUCUUAUGAUGUUUUGAUCUUUUUUUUUUUUAACUCUUAUUUGAAGUAGAACAACAAUAUACCACUUGAGCAAGGAAGGAGCACAUAUUAUUGAAUCCAUGUGGUAAGUGGUUAAUUCUCGUCUCUCAAGUUUCUUGAUCGUGGGAAUCUAAAUGCUUUGGGGUGCAUGGAUAACAAUAGCGACAUAUCUCCCUCAUUUUCAUUGAGAGGCAAGUUGGUUUGAGGGGAGUAUAAAAUAAGGAGAACUAGCAGGACCAUUCUUCCCAUUCCUGCCAUGAUGGAGGAAAAGAGAUGGUGGAGGGAUAGUAUCAAUAUCACUAGCAAAACAACAAAUUUGAAGGGAUUACCCAUCAUCAGCAAAGCCAUUAUUCCCAUGUCUGAGGACACUCCAACUUUUUUAUUUGCCCAAUUUGGAGGGAUGGGGAAGGAGGGAUGUAGCAGCAGAGCAAGCUCCUUCAUAUCCUUAUCUUGAGGAUCUACAGCUGGGCAACACCACUGUGGAGCUACGCUUACAUUUGAUCUCUGUCUCUUCUUCAUUGAAGUCUCUGUCUAUUAGACGCAUAAAUGAUCCGAUAUCUCUGCCAGAGGGGCUUCAACAUGUUUCCACCCGACAAACUCUCACAAUUGAAUAUAUCUCUGGUUUGGUCACUUUACCACACUGGAUCGGCCGCCUCACAUCACUUUCAAAGCUUCGCAUUGAACACUGCCAUAAUUUGUUAUUUCUGCCAGCAGAGAUGCGAUCCCUCCGCCAUCUACACACACUCGAAAUUUGUGGUUGUGCACACUUAUAUAGAAGAUACAAAUACAAAACUGGUGAAGUUUCGGCUAUGAUUUCUCAUAUUCCCGAAAUUAUUAUUUCGCGACAUUGAAGCAGGUAUGUGAAGCUUGCCUUGUCUCUUUAAUUGAAUGCGUCAUCCACAAUAAAUUUCAAGUAUGCAAUCCAAUUUCUAGUUGUUUGCUGUGUUUUUCCUUAUUUGUUCGCACUUCACCUGUUCGAUAAAAUGCUUAGGUUACCAAAAUGCCUUGUUACUCGGUGUUUGCAGUUUACAUGUUUGCAUUUUACUGCCGUCGAAAUUGUUGUCAUCUCACUUCUCUCAAAUAUUAUAUAAAUUUCAGAAUAUAAUACUUGAAACUGUUGCAAUACUGAUUAUUUAAUGCUUAUAAUGCCUUCAAAAAUUGCAACCAUCAUGCCUCUAGAUGGCCACCCAAGAAAACUAAAGCUCAGGAAACUCAGCCAGGAAUUUAUAUUAAUCAAAACUAGACUCUUUUAUGGAUAUGCUUGUAGUGUUUAACAAUGUUUGGGUUAGAACUUAAAGAAGUGUCGCUCCAUAUUCCUUGAUGGACACGUUAAUGUAUUGAGGUGAACCCCACCACAUGUUGAAUUGAUUGGUAGUGUGAAGAAGACCAUUGGUGUAUAUAGGUGUAGACUAAGGUGCUUCUUCCGUGGGGACUGCCACAAGCAAUCUAAUUUUAUUUUAUUUUUUUAUGUUGAUUCUUAUAAGAUGGCACCAAAAGCAUAAAAUAAAAUCUAAUGCUUCUUUAGAGUUUUUUGUAAUAUAAACAAGUGUCUAUCGCAAAGAAAGAACAGAGCAUAUUUCUAUGCAAUUUUAAAUUAUUCAUCUUACUAUGUGUUUGCAAUCUAAUUUGUAUGGUUGUUUUUACAGGGUUUAUUUUUUGUUAUUUUACAAUUUAUCUAGCUCUUUAGAACCUUAUAUAUUAUGUUUUGCUAAUUUCGAUAUGUAAUGGCAUAUGUGAGGGAAAAGGUUUUUCAAUUUGUUUUCCUUCACUUUGUUGCAUGCCUAUGUUCUUUUACUCAUGAAUACAAUUGGGACUGUAAAUGUCAUGUUCGGUUUUCUUGUAGUUAUUUAGAAUAUGACUUGGGAUGUGCAUAUAAUACUUUCUUAUUAUGCAAGUCUUUUCCCUAGUUAUAAAUUAUGAUUUAAUUUUAUAUUUUUGGAUUGAAACAAUGCUUGUAAUUCUUUUCACUAGUCCAAUUUCUUGAUGAUUCAUUCUAUUAAGCCAACACCCUUUAAUAUUCCUAAAAAAAAUGUUGAUAGGUUGAGGAUAACCGAUGCAUAUGGAACAAGUUAGCUCACUUACAUCACACUCCCAAUCUAUACUAUUUUUAGCAUGUUGUCCAUACUUUGUCUCCACUAUUUAGGUUUAGAAUUGACUCAUCUCCUUAUGCUUUGGAUUGUUUACCCCUUUCAUUCAUUUACUAAAAAAUGUUGUACUUCGUCUGAUUUUUUUGUUUGAUAUUUUGAUCUUUUUUUUAACUCUCAUUUAAAGUAGAACAACAAUACUCCACUUGAGCAAGGAGCACAUAUUACUGAAUCCAUGUGGCAAGUGGUUAAUUCUCGUCUCUCAAGCUUCUUGAUCAUGGGAAUCUAAAUGCUUUGGGAUGCACGGAUAACAAUAGCGGCAUAUCUCCUUCAUUUUCAUUGAAAGGCAAGUUGGUUUGAGGGGAGUAUAAAACAAGGAGAACUAGCAGGACCAUUCUUCCCAUUCCUGCCAUGAUGGAGGAAAAGAGAUGGUGGAGGGAUAGUAUCAAUAUCACUAGCAAAACAACAGUAACCAACAUUCAUUACUUCUCUGGUUUCCUCAUCUUUUUAUUUUACUUGAGCUGAAAUGCAUGCUGAUAUAUCUAUAUCUUGAUCAGGAUUUAGAUCUAUAUAACAUCUCUUCCACAAGAGGAGCCCUAAGUGCUUACCUCUCUUAAUUUGGUAAGUAUGUUGCAUUAUUGUUUGUUUGUAUAAUUCUAGAUAUCAUUUUUGAAUGAUGAUGAAAAUUUAUGUUUUUCUCUCAUUUUCUCAAAAUUGAUGACAAAUAGAUAAAAGAUUCUUGUGCUCUUUAAUUCUAUCACACCAUACAAACAUAUUUUAGGUUUGCAAAUCUACCUAUAUUCCUUUUCUAUGGGAUUUACUUUUCAUUAUUUUACAAUUUGUCCUUUAAGAAUGUUACACUUUCUUUACAGCUUUAAUUACCAGAGUCUUUGAUGCAUUUCCAAAAACACUCAUAUUAUGCAAGUCCUUUUCAUGGUUAUGAGUCAUGUUUGUAAUUCUUGACUGGAUUUUAUUGGACAAAUUUAUUGCAGAUUCAUUCUAUUGUUGACCAAUACCAAAGGGGUGAUAUUGAGGAUUGGAUGGAUGCUUUUCAACAUUCCAUAAAUAAAUAUUGACAUGUUAUUGGUACCCGAGGCAUAUGGGAAAAGUUAGCCAUUCAAUUCGAUAUUUAAGCUUUGCAUGUUGUCUAUAACAUGUCUUCAUUAUUCAGGUUUAGGACCCAUUCCUCUCUUUUUUGGUUUUGUUGGUUUAUUUUCUGUUAUUUAAUUUGCUAAAAAUUCUUAUACCUUGUCUUAUAGGAAGGGUGAAACAAGGAGAAUUAACAGGAUUAUUCUUCUCAUUUCUGCCAUGAUGGAGAAACUCAAAAAUUAGAGAAACUUAAAACAUAUGUCGAGGUGGUAGUGGCAUUACCAGAUAAACAACAGAAGCUUCAUUCUUGCCAUGUUUUCCUUUUCUUCCUAUUCUCCUUAAGCCGACAUCCAUGCCACUGCAUCUAUAUCUUAAGGAUCCACAGUACCAUCUCCUUCAUUUCCUUUCUCCUUCCUACAUCCAUUGACGUCUAUGCAUAUUGAUGGCGAUAGAGAAUCCAACAUAUGUUCCAAAAAAAGGAUUUUGGUACAUCAUUUCUCUCUUAAAUUUUGACAUGCCAUUGUUUAUUUGUCCAAGUCUAGAUAUUCGAAAUGUAAAUGCUAAUGGUGGUGAAAUCUUAUGUCUUAGGGAAUUUCAGCAAGUUAAAGAUUUUUUAUGUGAAUGUAGGAAUCAAUUCUAAGAACUCGAGAGGUAGCAUCCAAUAUGUAUUCACCUUACUACAGCAAAGAAUCUAACACUUUGGGUAAGUGUUCAUUCUUUAACUUAGGAAAAAUAGAUGGUAAGUCACCUCACUAAGCUUCUUGUUAUUCAUUGUCAAGCUUGAAAUCACUACUAGAGGGAUGUCAAAAGGAAGCAUGUGCAGAUUGAUCCUAUGGCUUAUCAUGUCCCAAGAAUUCAUAUCUACCAGUCUCAAAUAGCUAAUGCACAAAGGACCUAUUCUCUGUUUACAAUUCGGGUGCACUAUCUGCAAUGCUUGUUCUAAGGUUUGCUAUGCCAACUUUUUUUCCUUCUUUUGAUGGCUACUUUAUUUCUUAUUUUACAUUCAAUUUGUUCCAAUUCUUAUUUUAUAAGUUAUGUAUUGUUGGUGCAUAUGGAAUGAGUAAAUUCACUUGCAUCAUUAUGUCUCUAUUAUUCAGGUAUGUCACUCCACUUCCUCUUCCCACCUCAAAACUCUUUAUAGCUUAGUUCUUCACUACAAAUUUCGUAAGAACUAUAAAAGCUCAAAUUCAACUAUUGUAUUUUAGUUGUUCAAAGCAAUAAAACAGCAAACAACAACUAGUUGAGUGAGCGGCUCGUACUACCGACUUGAAGUGCUUGAUUCAAUUUAUUGUUAGGUGCCUAAACAAGCCUUUAUAUAUAAUUCUUAACUGAAAAUGAGUAAUAUGAUGUUUAGUGUGGAUGUCCUCUUCUAUGACACGAGAGUAAUAAUUUCUUGUUGUUUUGCCCUUCUUUUGUUAGGAGGAAUUAUAUUGCCUAUUGCUAAGGGAAGAAGUUGCUAGAAUCUAAUACUGUGAAAGUGUAAAUUUUGGAGUUUCUUUGUAAUUGCAUUGUAAGAUCAUCUAAUCUCUAAGUGAAAAAACUCUUGGCUACAAUUGAAGCAUUCCAUUAUGUACAUAAUGUUGUUAGCUUUAUUGAUUUGGCAGGCUUAUUUCCCAAGUCUUGUAAUCAAGUUGUUGGUUCCAAUAUCGUUGAACAUUCAUGACAUAUAGAUCUUCUAAUUUGCAAGCUCCUAUGACAUCUGUCAAACUCAACAAAGGUUCAUUCGUAUCUCAAAAAUUGUUAUAGAUUCUACUUUUUAUGCAAUAGAUUUCAAAAAAUUAAUUCUUGUAUGAUUUUUUGUAGGAAAAAAGAUUGAGCUACAUAUUUGACCUCAAAGCAGAGAGAGUUAAUCAUUUUGAUGAGGUACAUAUGGUAAGCCUUCAUCAACAACUGUCACAUUGUUCUUUAUGAUAAUUUGUGUUUUCUUUUAGUUCAUUCUUAUACAAUUCCUUUAAUAUCGAAAUUAAAAAACAAAGUACAUAAUUUAUUGAGUUGGCUGUUGUAACAUAUAGUUAUGACAUUAUUCAUGUUCCAAAAUAAUGGAAAGCCAAUCCAAGAUGAUUGAUCUAUAUGUUCAAGAUGCUUGAAAGGAGUGUCAUGAGUCUUUUUAUGGUACCAUUUGCAUAUUAGUGUAAGAGUUAUUAUUCUUAAACUAACUUUUUUCUUCUUUUUUUAUUUUUGCGGAAUUAUAGGUGAGAAUCAAGUUUAAUCGAACUAUCCUUGGGACUGAUUUUUACUGGAAGAUAACCUCAUAUUUCAUAAUGUCAUUCAUUGUUGGCAUACAAAAGCUCAAUCAUUAAACAACUUAUGAAAUAAAAGGGUGGUCGAUUAAGAGAGGAAGAAUGGAUUCAAAAGUUGAUCUCCACUUCCCACGCUUUUGAAGGCUUCAAUCAUGACUCAAAGAACAAGUUGGUUUAUUUAAAGGUUUUGGAAUCUCCUUGCAUGUUGUGGAAGUGUAUUUAGCUUCUAAAUAAAAGUAGAAUUCAAAUCCAGUAUCAACUUUCAAUUACUACAAAUUGCCACUCAAAUCUCCUUACAACCUUUCUAUUAGUUGUUUCUUUAUGCUUCUUCAAUGAUACUAUUAACAUUAUUUUAUGUUACUUUUGAUGGAAUC
rnacentral:lncRNA from 1 species